rnacentral:lncRNA from 10 species
UGUAGCUCCUCAAAAAUCUGGGCAGAACUUAGAAGAUACCAGAAGACUAUGGCAAGCUCAACCAGAAAUGCAAGCUGUGCUGCCUGGAGUUGGAGGAGCGGUGAUGCACACACUCCCUCGGCCACCUCAGCUGGUGUUUCACUGGGUCAUGGGCACCCCAAGUCUGCCAGCUCCAAGCCCAGCACAGCCCUAGAACUAGCCCAGGAAUUGCAGUCCUUGUGGCUUAGACUGCCUUUUAAGUUUACUUGGGACCCUAGAGCCCUUUAGCCCAUGAUGAUGGGGGUUGCUGGAACUCAGAUUCCCACUACCAGGAUGGAUAAUUUCCCUGUGGCUAGGGCUAGUCUAAAAGCUCCCUCCAUGGGUGCUGGCUGAAGUCUGCCUUGUAUUGCUUUCCAUUAUGACAGGGCAGCACUGAAUUCCAGUGCAAAGCCCCACAAUUACUGUACUGUCCUUCCCCCAAGUGUACAGAUUCUCUCUUCUGCCCCACAUAGUGCCACCAGGGGAUGGGGGAGCAGUGGUGUCAGGAAUUUAAGACUGUCUUUCCUACCCUCUUCAGUGUCUCUUUCCUUAACAUGAUGUUAAAACCAGGUACUGUGAUCACUCACUUGCUUUUUGGUUCUUAUGAAGGUGAUUUCUUCUGUGGAUAGUAGUUCAAUUUGGUGUUCCUGUGAGGAGGACAGUCACUGAAGGGUUCUGUUUGGCCAUCUUGCUCCCUUGUUUUUUGUUUACAUUGUCUAUGUCACCUCACAUAGUCCAGAAUGUACUGAGUGAAUUUAAUAAAUGUUUGUUGCAGUAAUGAAUAAACGAGAAGUAAACUUUCUUUAAGUUUUGGAACCUAAAAUAAUAAGUUUUAGUUGGGAAAACUCCCUAAUAACAUCCUUGGGAGUACAAGUAUGAUUAACAAAGAUUACUUAUCUCAGAAAGGUAAAUUUUAUAUGUGAAAACACUUUUAUAUGAAGUUUGAAAAUAUAUUUGGAAUAAAUAUAAGGAAUCAGUGAGAGAAUAGUCAAUGUGUAGAGGCAAAUCAGAAAAGUGAGAUUCAAGACCUGCCUUCACACUCUUUUUAAGUUUGAGCAUGUACUUAACCUCUUUGACCUCCAAAUCUCUCCUUUGGUCUUAUAUACAAUCAGGUGUUUCUAAUUAUAAUAGAUGAUGAUGUGUGAGAGAAUAUAUUGUUAACUGCAAAUCUUAUAAUAAUAAAAGCUGUAAUAAUACAUUUACAAACUAGCAUAAUUUCAUUGAGCAACAGAAAUUGUGAAGACAGCAUUUAUUUUCUUUAAAACAAUGAUGUAUUUCAUAAUUCACAUAUUUUGCUUUUCAAAUAAUUGUUUAUUAAAAUUUGUAUUUGUAUUGAUUGAGCACUUAUGAAUUAGAUAAGUAAUGCCAUAUUAUUUUAUAUCAUCUGUUAUCUGUGUCCAGUGGAUUUAUACAAUCUCACAUUUUUUAUCUGGUCAUGUACAAGGGUGUGAAUUCACCCGAAACACUCAGAGUGAUUCUGCUAUCUGUAUACAAUCCUAUAGCAUUUGCUUUGAUAUUAAAGAAUGCCAUCAAACAGAAAAUG